UGAACGCUGGCGGCGUGCUUAACACAUGCAAGUCGAACGAGAAAGAGGUUGCUUGCAACCUUGAGUAGAGUGGCGCACGGGUGAGUAACACGUAGAUAAUCUACCUUCAAGCCUGGAAUAACUAUUCGAAAGGGUAGCUAAUACCGGAUAAAGUUGAUCAACAUAAGUUGGUUUAUGAAAGAUUGCCUCUUCUUGAAAGCAAUUGUUUGGAGAUGAGUCUGCGGACCAUUAGUUUGUUGGUGGGGUAAAGGCCUACCAAGACUGCGAUGGUUAGCUGGUCUGAGAGGAUGAUCAGCCACACUGGAACUGACACACGGUCCAGACUCCUACGGGAGGCAGCAGUGAGGAAUUUUGCGCAAUGGGGGAAACCCUGACGCAGCAACGCCGCGUGAGUGAAGAAGGCCCUUGGGUCGUAAAGCUCUGUCGACAGGGAAGAAAUUAACAUCAUCCAAUAGGUGUUGUUAUUGACGGUACCUGUAGAGGAAGCACCGGCUAACUCC
rnacentral:rRNA from 1 species